GAAACACCUCACAGCCUCCCUAUCCUCUGGAGCUAAAAUCUGGCCCGAAGAGAUUGGAACUCAGUCCAGUGGAAACAGGAAUGUCUUGGUUGAGUCACUGGGAUGGGUCCUCAGGGUUACUCACAAAGAUUUUUGUGCUUCUACAUCCAUGGCCCAGCAAAUUCUGUGGCUGCUGUUUCUAUGAACAAGCAACUGGCUGGAUGGAAUCAGAGCCUCUAAGAAGUUCCUGGUCAACAGAGAAGCUGCAGCAUGAGGUCCAAGAUUUGAAAAUAAAAGCUCAACAGGGAAAAAGAGUGAGCUUCACCCUCCCCCUCGUAACAAAUGAAAGUCGUGUAUUGUUGGAAGCGGAUGGUGUCAGGACUAAAAUACUCUGCUGGGGACCUCUUGGCUCCAUUCAGUCUCCUGCUGUGAUCAGUUCUGUUUAGGAUAUUCCCAGCCUGUGGGUCUAGAAUUAGGAAACCAAGAUCCAGAGAGGUUCAGUGGAAGUUCUAGAAGGUUAUUCAGUGUCCUGUCUUUAGGAGCUGAAGUGUUGGAGAAGGACCACAACCUCUCAGUGUUGACUUGCCCAAAUGAGACAUUUCUCACAUUGUUGUUUUUGCCUCUGAACUGGAACCCUAAAAUAACAAAUAGUCAGCGGGGAUGAUCCAGUGAUUCAACCAUCAGCAUCCACAGUAGUCACCCAAGGCAGCUGCUCCCUUUAGCAUCCAUAAAAAUACCAACCACUCCACAGGACAGCUUGGAAGCCAAGGAAAUAAUCUCUUUAUUGAAAUUAAGUUGCCAUAUGAGCCUUAAUUCCAAUGAGCUCCUCGGCUCCUCAUAUGCACCAAGCAAACUCCGUUAUUCCCUGCCUUCCCAAAUCGGGGUCAAUUCUUCAAGGCAGGGAUCUCAUCUCUCAUUGUGCCCAUGUGCAGCAUCAGAAGAACAUUUGUGUCAGAGCUGGGCCAAGGCAGUCCCUGGUGUCAGUGACAGAGAACAAUCAGCUCUUAUCACAUUACAGGAAACUAAAGCAGAAAACUCAGCUCAAGCUGAGGCUGAGAUUUUCCUGCCCAGACAAAGUACCUGGGUUUAAUGGCACAGAGCAGGGAAGAGUUCAGCAUACAUCAUGCCAUCAGGAAAAGCUUCACUCUGCUCCUCUGCUGCUUGUCCCUGUGUCAGAGAGGGAUUGAAUUAAGCCAUGGAGGAAGGUGGAUCUGCUCUGCAGUGCAAAGAGCCAAAAAUCAGGUAAUAACAGUAACUCCCAGUCCUGAAUCUUUUCAGAAAAGCAUUUACAAGCAGCUUUC